GGUGGCUCAGUGGUAGAGUGCUUGCCUUGCAUGCACAAAGCCCUGAGUUCGAUUCCUCAGCACCA
rnacentral:tRNA from 1 species